rnacentral:misc_RNA from 1 species
UGAGCGAAGCCGGUUCAUCCACACGCUGGGCACCCUCGUGGGCGCAUUCGGCCUGUCUUCCUCUCCAUCAAUGACUUCGCACACCGGCUCCAGCCUUUAUGAGGGCAUUGCGCCUCUUGCAUCUCAAGCAGAGGACUUCAUUACACGCUGCUUCUACGGCAAAGCCGGUGCCGAGUCGCGUCAGCGUGCCUUUUCGAUGGGUUUGCAAUCGCCGCUGUGGCUGUGGACGCAUCAGCAGAUCACUCGCGAUGCCGGGGCGCCAAAGGGGAUGCGUAAGAUAAUACACCUGGUUCAGUGGAUGCACCUCCACGGCGUGGAGUCGCGGCACAUUGCCAUUCUUGUGCCAUUCUCGUGGAAGGCGAUGUGCCAGCAGGAGUUCGCGCAGCACAGCGCUCAGGCGGAGAUGAAGGAGUGCCCGAUUCUUCUAGCCCAUCACGAGCUGCCUGCGCUGAACAAGCGAGACCACACCAAGUACCGGUAUCGGGCGGUUUUCUACUUGAUGGACGCGCUGCCGCGCAAUUUAAACCUUUCGGCGCCGCUUCAGGCAAGUGAGGAGCUCCUGAUUUCCGAGGCCAUGGGGGCGGCGCUGGACGCAUUUGUGCUGUGCGCCGAUGCAGGGUGGAUGGCGCCUCAGGUACAGGCAAAGUGGUACAAGAUGUUCGUCGCCAAGCUGGAGGACGUCCGCGCGGUUGUCUCUUACGACGCCACCACGACGACUCAGGCGGCCAUGGAGGCGGCGGCCGCGUACUUUCCCUCCCUUGUGGGUCCCACGAUCCCUCUGUGCUGCAGCCGGCACCCAAACCAGCGGCAGCUCGAGUACGGUCUUGCACGCAUGGAGCCCUGUUGCAAACGGCUCUGCCUGAGUCUGUACGCGUGUCGUCGUCCCGAUCACGUGUGCACGCGUACGUGUCACCCCGACGAGAGCCAUCUGACGUGCUCGUACGCGUGCGGCGCCUCCCUCCCCUGCGGUCACAAGUGUCUGCUGGAGUGCGGUGCUCCGUGCAACUGCUUCGAGGUGGUCGAGAUGCAGCUGCCAUGCUCGCACGAGAAGCUUCUGGGGAUGAACAAGGAAACGCUCGAGCCCAUUUACGCGGUGGUGCGCCACGUGUACAAGGGUGUCUGCGGCGACGCAGCGCUACCGUGCGCCGUGUCGUACGAGACGGAGUGCGCGCGGUGCCUCGGCCUCUUUACGGUGUCGUGCUUUGAGGCACAGGAGCAGGGCCAUUCGCUGGCCCACCGGACACUGAUCUGUGCAGCGUGCAAGCGCCGCGAGCGCGAACUGCGGGCGAGGCUUCUUGGCGAGCUUCUCACUGGUGUCGAGUCCCAGAAGAAGAAGGUCAAGGCGGAGCUGCAGCGGUCGCUGCACCACCAGCGCAAAGCAGCGGCGCAGGGCCUUUUUCGGCCCGGCACCCGGGUGGAGAUCGUCGACGCGACCAAGUGCGUGCCGCCGCUCUUCGCAGAGGAUGACUUUCCGGGCAUCGAGUUUGUGGACAUGGAGGUGCCGACGUUUUUCCAGGAGAUAGAGGGGGCGUACGGCACGUUCGUGAGCAACCACGUAGAUGUCGUGGACCGCAGCGAGGUGCGCAACCUUGUUCGGCUGCCUAGUGGCAAGCAUGUGCUGGUGACGGAUGGCGGGCUGCGCAUGAUUCAGGCCCUGACAAGCAACAUCACGCAGGCUGUGCCGCUCAUGCUGACCUGCAAGGGUAGAGACGACGGUGCCGCGGAUGGGGCCGCACUGGACAGCGCCGAGUUUGCGGCCGCGAAGCUGAUGCUGCAUGGCGUGUAUUAUCUGGCGCAGCCUGUCGCAUGCGACGAGGUGGCGGGGGAAGAGGUGCUCACGGACAAGGUCGUGCGCGUCGUGGAUCUCGAUCCGCUCUCUGCCAAGAAGGUUGUGGUGGAGUGCGAGCUUUAUCGCGUCUCCGAGCGCACACACGACGACAUCGGCGAUGAACGUAGCGACUCCGCUCACGUUGGCAGCGCGACGACGGGCUCAUUGAACGGGACCCCAAAGCGGCGCCGUCUCGAACGGGGCGCGGUGAACAUCUCCCGGUACGAAUGCACCGAGCAGAUUGUGCGCCUCUCCGUCCCCAUUGCGGCUUUGGAGCCGAUGCCUGGUAUGGUGGAAGGCAAGUACGUGUUCGUCAGCGCCCCGGAGCGGCAAGUGCGCAACCCGCACGACAUGGUCAGAAUCGAGGCGAUGCUGCGCCGCCUCACUGACCUAUCCUUGCCCACUGAUGCGCACGUGACGGCGGCGCCCAUUGACCCCGACACUCCGUACUCGCUGGUGAAAGUGGUGAACCCUCCCGUGAACUGCGAGGCGGCGCGCGGCCCUUGCGCGGUGCUGAAGUGCAGCGAUGCGCGUGUUGUGGUUCGUGCCAGCUCUGACAAGCUCCAGCACCGCCGUGGCGGUGGCGCCCGCCACAAUGGGGAUCGCGGGGCACCCCAGCGAGGGGUGCGCGCUCCGCCGACCGCCGCCGCAUCCGCGCUACUCGUGGUCGUGCCCUUUGUGUACACGGUGGGCGAUGAGCUCACGGAGGCGGAGGGGGCGCUGGACGCGGCUGCGCAGAAAGUGUUUGAGCAGCGCCUGCAGGCCGAGUUGACCACCUCAAGCGAGGAGCUGGCCUUGCGCCAUGAGGAGGAGGCCUUCCACGCGCAGCAGCAGAUGCCCGAGGUAACCCCGGAGAUGAUGACCGCCGAUCUACAUGCGUACAGCGUUCCGAUGCCGCUGCCAACGGCUGCCGAAGUGGCAGCGGCCCGGCAGAAGUCGAUGGAGCUGUCGGUAGGAACGCCCAUCGCUAGUCGCCUCGCGCACACCAGGGACAAGCUCCUUUGCAAACAGGAGGCGCUGCAACUGCCGCAGUGGAUGACGAUGAUGACGGAGAGAGCUCACAAGGAAAAAGAGUCGGACGCGCAGCACGUCAAGUACAUUCGCUCCUUGCGUCGAUGAGAACCCUCCCAGAGCGCGCAUGUGUGUGCGUGUCUCCGGGCCUGCAUGGCGGUGGAGGUGAGCAGGAGGCGGUGGGGGAGGGUAGGUCCUCCUGCCUUGUCGUUUGCCUCUCGCUGGUUUUCUGCUAUGCCGCGCGCGUCUGUCCGCCUCUUCGUCCGUCCGUGUGUCUGUGUGUCUGUCUGUCUUUGGAUGUGUGCCCGUGUGUGGCUGUGCUUGAGUGGGCCGCUGCCGGAGUGUGCCAUCACGACGGAGGGAUGGGCGGCAAACCCUUGUGGGGCCCGAAGGGACCUGCGCAUGCACCGAGACACACGCACGCGCAGACACACUGGCACGUAUGUGCACACGGCGCACAACGCGCACUGCGCCCACCCCUCAUCUCUUUUCGUUUAUUUUCGUGCACACCCAAAACAAGGAAAAAAAGACGAAAGGAUCACACGGGCACGCAUUGGCAACAAAUGCGGCACCACUCUCGCCAUUGCCAAACAGUGGCGAUGCACGGUGUGUGUGCAAUGCAUGUGGGUCGGUGUUGUCUGUUCUGCCACCCCCCUCAUCCUCUCUACGUCUGCACCCUCGCGCAGUCGAGUGAAUGCUGGGUCUGAGAGCAGGAGUGAGAGGGGGUACAGGCAUGAGCAGCGGCAGCAGCUGAUCUCGAGAGAGAGAGAGAGAGGGACAGCGUCGCUGAAGAGAGUAACCAACUCUGCCGAGCGUAGACAUCGACGCUCGCGCGAGUGCGCGACUUCAUACAUGCACACGCACACACAAAACGCUCCAGCGCACGCUCCCUUUCCCGCUCUAACUCACCUCUCUCCGCCUUCUUGUUUGCGAGGCUGUAAAUGGUUGUUAUUCACGGUGCUUGUUGUCAG